UACGUAGGGGGCGAGCGUUGUCCGGAGUUACUGGGCGUAAAGGGCAUGCAGGCGGUCGCCUGAGUGCGGGGUUACAGCUCCCGGCUUACCUGGGAGAGCGCCUCGCAGACUGGGCGACUUGAGAGCCAGAGAGGGACCUAGAAUUCCGGGUGGAGUGGUGAAAUGCGUAGAUAUCCGGAGGAAUACCAAAGGCGAAGGCAGGGUCCUGGCUGGCCUCUGACGCUGAGGUGCGAAAGCUAGGGGAGCGAACGGG
rnacentral:rRNA from 1 species